UACAGAGGGUGCAAGCGUUGUUCGGAAUUAUUGGGCGUAAAGAGCGCGCAGGCGGUCGUUCAAGUCGAGUGUGAAAGCCCCCGGCUCAACUGGGGAGGGUCACUCGAUACUGAUCGACUUGAAGGCGGGAGAGGGAAGCGGAAUCCGGUGUAGUGGUGAAAUGCGUAGAUAUCGGGAGGAACACCAGUGGCGAAGGCGGCUUCUUGGCCGGUUCCUUGACGCGAGCG
rnacentral:rRNA from 1 species